rnacentral:rRNA from 1 species
GACGUAGGGUGCGAGCGUUGUCCGGAUUUAUUGGGCGUAAAGAGCUCGUAGGCGGCUUGUUGCGUCGACUGUGAAAACCCGCGGCUUAACCGCGGGCUUGCAGUUGAUACGGGCAGGCUAGAGUUCGGUAGGGGAGACUGGAAUUUCUGGUGUAGCGGUGAAAUGCGCAGAUAUCAGGAGGAACACCGGUGGCGAAGGCGGGUCUCUGGGCCGAUACUGACGCUGAGGAGCGAAAGCGUGGGGAGCGAACAGG